CUUUGCUCCAGUCAAGAGUAUCUGAGGGAUCUGAAGCUCUCCUUAUCACAGGGGUCCCCAACCUAUGUUCAGCUAAGAGACAUUGGAGUUUUUCAAAACGGACUCACUUGAAUAUUUGGGGGAAACAGAAGAAUAAAGAAAAAAAAGAACAAAUCCCAAUUCAAGAAGCCAAGCACCCAGAAGUCUAGAAGCCCUGUGUCUCGGAAACUGACAAGUGCCUAGUCUUUGAUACUGGCCAGUCUCCUGGGAGAAAAAGCAGAGGUAAAAUGGCAUCUCCA